rnacentral:rRNA from 1 species
CAGCAGCCGCGGGAAUACGUAGGGCGCAAGCGUUGUCCGGAAUUAUUGGGCGUAAAGAGCUCGUAGGCGGUCUGUCGCGUUUGGUGUGAAAUCCCGAGGCUCAACCUCGGGCUUGCAUCGGGUACGGGCAGACUAGAGUGCGGUAGGGGAGACUGGAAUUCCUGGUGUAGCGGUGGAAUGCGCAGAUAUCAGGAGGAACACCGAUGGCGAAGGCAGGUCUCUGGGCCGCAACUGACGCUGAGGAGCGAAAGCAUGGGGAGCGAACAGGAUUAGAUACCCCCGUAGUCCCUGUCUCUUAUAC